rnacentral:misc_RNA from 1 species
UUUCCGUAGGUGAACCUGCGGAAGGAUCAUUACAGGGUUUCCUGCCCUUCGGGGUAGGAUCGCCACCCUUGAUUAUUUAUGAGUGUUGCUUUGGCGGGCCUCGCGGCCUGGCCGCGCCCCGGCUUCGGCGGGGGAGCGCCCGCCAGAGGAUUCUACAAACCUGAUUAUUAGUGUCGUCUGAGUACUAUAUAAUAGUUAAAACUUUCAACAACGGAUCUCUUGGUUCUG